AGAGUUUGAUCAUGGCUCAGAUUGAACGCUGGCGGCAGGCCUAACACAUGCAAGUCGAACGGUAACAGGAAGCAGCUUGCUGCUUCGCUGACGAGUGGCGGACGGGUGAGUAAUGUCUGGGAAACUGCCUGAUGGAGGGGGAUAACUACUGGAAACGGUGGCUAAUACCGCAUAACGUCGCAAGACCAAAGAGGGGGACCUUCGGGCCUCUUGCCAUCAGAUGUGCCCAGAUGGGAUUAGCUAGUUGGUGAGGUAACGGCUCACCAAGGCGACGAUCCCUAGCUGGUCUGAGAGGAUGACCAGCCACACUGGAACUGAGACACGGUCCAGACUCCUACGGGAGGCAGCAGUGGGGAAUAUUGCACAAUGGGCGCAAGCCUGAUGCAGCCAUGCCGCGUGUAUGAAGAAGGCCUUCGGGUUGUAAAGUACUUUCAGCGGGGAGGAAGGUGUUGUGGUUAAUAACCACAGCAAUUGACGUUACCCGCAGAAGAAGCACCGGCUAACUCCGUGCCAGCAGCCGCGGUAAUACGGAGGGUGCAAGCGUUAAUCGGAAUUACUGGGCGUAAAGCGCACGCAGGCGGUCUGUCAAGUCGGAUGUGAAAUCCCCGGGCUCAACCUGGGAACUGCAUUCGAAACUGGCAGGCUUGAGUCUUGUAGAGGGGGGUAGAAUUCCAGGUGUAGCGGUGAAAUGCGUAGAGAUCUGGAGGAAUACCGGUGGCGAAGGCGGCCCCCUGGACAAAGACUGACGCUCAGGUGCGAAAGCGUGGGGAGCAAACAGGAUUAGAUACCCUGGUAGUCCACGCCGUAAACGAUGUCUUACUUGGAGGUUGUGCCCUUGAGGCGUGGCUUCCGGAGCUAACGCGUUAAGUAGACCGCCUGGGGAGUACGGCCGCAAGGUUAAAACUCAAAUGAAUUGACGGGGGCCCGCACAAGCGGUGGAGCAUGUGGUUUAAUUCGAUGCAACGCGAAGAACCUUACCUGGUCUUGACAUCCACAGAACUUUCCAGAGAUGGAUUGGUGCCUUCGGGAACUGUGAGACAGGUGCUGCAUGGCUGUCGUCAGCUCGUGUUGUGAAAUGUUGGGUUAAGUCCCGCAACGAGCGCAACCCUUAUCCUUUGUUGCCAGCGGUCCGGCCGGGAACUCAAAGGAGACUGCCAGUGAUAAACUGGAGGAAGGUGGGGAUGACGUCAAGUCAUCAUGGCCCUUACGACCAGGGCUACACACGUGCUACAAUGGCGCAUACAAAGAGAAGCGACCUCGCGAGAGCAAGCGGACCUCAUAAAGUGCGUCGUAGUCCGGAUUGGAGUCUGCAACUCGACUCCAUGAAGUCGGAAUCGCUAGUAAUCGUGGAUCAGAAUGCCACGGUGAAUACGUUCCCGGGCCUUGUACACACCGCCCGUCACACCAUGGGAGUGGGUUGCAAAAGAAGUAGGUAGCUUAACCUUCGGGAGGGCGCUUACCACUUUGUGAUUCAUGACUGGGGUGAAGUCGUAACAAGGUAACCGUAGGGGAACCUGCGGUUGGAUCACCU
rnacentral:rRNA from 1 species